AGAUAUACGUUCACAUGCUGC
rnacentral:siRNA from 1 species